rnacentral:rRNA from 1 species
GUUGAACGCUAGCUACAGGCCUAACACAUGCAAGUCGAGGGACCGGCGCACGGGUGAGUAACACGUAUCCAACCUGGCCUUUACUCGGGGAUAGCUUGUCGAAAGAAAGAUUAAUACCCGAUGUAAAGGAUGGGGAUGCGUUUCAUUAGGUUGUUGGUAAGGUAACGGCUCACCAAGCCUUCGAUGGCUAGGGGUUAGGAGAGGCAGGCCCCCCACAUUGGAACUGAGGCCCGGUCCACACUGCGACGCGAGGCAGCAGUGUAGAGUAUUGGUCACUGAGCGUUAGCCUGACCCUGCCAAGUAGCGUGAAGAGUGAAGGCUUAGGGAUCGUAAUCUUCUGUUAUAUAAGAAUCUGUAUUAUAUGAAUAAGCAUCGGCUAACUCCGUGCCAGCAGCCGCGGUAAUUC